rnacentral:lncRNA from 1 species
GGGUCUUGCUUGGUCAGAUGCUGAUCAAAUCCGCCUGAAUUAUAGGUAUUUUCUAUGUACAGAUGUCUGUGUUCUUUUUGACAUAACAGACUUUCAGAAACAUCUAUAGCCUUCUGUUUAGGAUCACCAAAAGGCAUUUGAGUCUCUUGAUCUCCGUCAGCCAGGAAAGUGGUAGUUUUUGGUACACAGUUCCACUCAGAAGCAAGGAGAUUAUGUUUCCCUCUAUUUUCAAUUCCUGUUUCUCGGUUCCCC